UACGUAGGUGGCAAGCGUUGUCCGGAUUUAUUGGGUUUAAAGGGUGCGUAGGCGGUCUUAUAAGUCAGUGCUGAAAUAUCCCGGCUUAACCGGGAGGGUGGCAUUGAUACUGUAGGACUUGAGUGAGGUCGAGGUAGGCGGAAUUGACGGUGUAGCGGUGAAAUGCUUAGAUAUCGUCAAGAACACCAAUAGUGAAGACAGUUUACUAGACUUCAACUGACGCUGAGGCACGAAAGUGUGGGGAUCAAACAGG
rnacentral:rRNA from 1 species